UAAGAUCUGGCUAAAGCAAGUGUUUUCUCUAACUCUUUGAGCUGCAUAUUGCCUUGAGUAAUCAUCAUCCGGAUUGUAUCCUGUAGAAGAAAGUGAAAUCUGGUCACUGUUUUAACUGGUUAAACAAGUGCUUCAGGUAUUUGCGAUCAGAAUCAUUUGGAACUUGCCGAAUUGCCUGCAAAAUCCUUCUGUAGAGGAGGAGAACUUGUUGCCUUCUCACGAACUGUACAGGGGAGGAGAAAUGGCAAUUACAGCUGCACAGUCGUCAGCCCGCUUGCACUCCGGGCCUUAAUGUGACCUGCAGAGACGGUACUUCCCCGGGAACAGACCACCCCGUGGGCAUCUUUCAUGUAGCGACUGAUGCUUCCUCCUUUGAGGAGGGCACUGCUGAGAUCCAAGUACUUGGAAAGGCUGGUCUACGUUUCCAACGGACAGGGCCCAUCAUCGAGGCUGCGAUACCUGCAGCGACGCUGUGCAGAGGGAGAUGACCCACCAGAGUACUAGUCAGCACAGAAAGUGGUUAAGAGGACAGACUGAGUCAGUCUGAAUACUGGCUUCCUUGUCAUUACCUACAACCUCUGUGCUUCUGUCCUUCACUGUAGAGUGGGAAUAACCAUCCCUACAUCACUGAGUUACUGCUCGGUUACAUGAGAAAAUAAUUAUAAAAUGCCUAGAACAGUGCCCUUCAGGAUGCCAUGAAUGUUAUAGGAGUUCUCGGUAUGACUGUGAGACCCAGGCCAUUCUUCAGAUAGAACAACUUG